GACGAACGCUGGCGGCGUGCUUAACACAUGCAUGUCGAACGCUGAAGCCCUUCGGGGUGGAUGAGUGGCGAACGGGUGAGUAACACGUGGGUAAUCUGCCCUGCACUCUGGGAUAAGCCUUGGAAACGGGGUCUAAUACCGGAUAGGACACAUCGCCGCAUGGUGUGUGUGGGGAAAGUUCCGGCGGUGCAGGUUGAGCCCGCGGCCUAUCAGCUUGUUGGGGGGGUGAUGGCCUACCAAGGCGACGACGGGUAGCCGGCCGGAGAGGGUGACCGGCCACACUGGGACUGAGACACGGCCCGGACUCCUACGGGAGGCAGCAGUGGGGAAUCUUGCGCAAUGGGCGAAAGCCUGACGCAGCAACGCCGCGUGGGGGAUGACGGCCUUCGGGUUGUAAACCUCUUUCGACCGGGACGAAGGAUUCGUUUGACGGUACCGGUAGAAGAAGCACCGGCUAACUACGUGCCAGCAGCCGCCGUAA
rnacentral:rRNA from 1 species